rnacentral:rRNA from 1 species
UCAAAUGAGAAACUCACACGGAAGGUUCCCGACCUCCUCAGAUCUUGGAAGCUAAGCGGGGAUGAGCCUGGAUAGUGCUUGGAUGUGCGACCACCGUGCAUAGCACAGGUCGCCAUAGGUG